CAGUCGCCGCGGUAAUACGUAGGUCCCGAGCGUUGUCCGGAUUUAUUGGGCGUAAAGGGAGCGCAGGCGGUUUAGUAAGUCUGAAGUCAAAGGCAUUGGCUCAACCAAUGUAUGCUUUGGAAACUGUUAGACUUGAGUGCAGAAGGGGAGAGUGGAAUUCCAUGUGUAGCGGUGAAAUGCGUAGAUAUAUGGAGGAACACCGGUGGCGAAAGCGGCUCUCUGGUCUGUCACUGACGCUGAGGCUCGAGAGCGUGGGUAGCGAACAGGAUUAGAUACCCCCGUAGUCCCUGUCUCUUAUACA
rnacentral:rRNA from 1 species